UGGCGAGUGGCGAACGGGUGAGUAAUGUAUCGGAACGUGCCUGGUAGCGGGGGAUAACUACCCGAAAGCGUAGCUAAUACCGCAUACGCCCUACGGGGGAAAGCAGGGGAUCGCAAGACCUUGCACUAUUAGAGCGGCCGAUAUCGGAUUAGCUAGUUGGUGGGGUAACGGCUCACCAAGGCGACGAUCCGUAGCUGGUUUGAGAGGACGACCAGCCACACUGGGACUGAGACACGGCCCAGACUCCUACGGGAGGCAGCAGUGGGGAAUUUUGGACAAUGGGGGAAACCCUGAUCCAGCCAUCCCGCGUGUGCGAUGAAGGCCUUCGGAUUGUAAAGCACUUUUGGCAGGAAAGAAAGGUCCUGGGCUAAUACCCCGUGAAUCUGACGGUACCUGCAGAAUAAGCACCGGCUAACUACGUGCCAGCAGCCGCGGUAAUACGUAGGGUGCAAGCGUUAAUCGGAAUUACUGGGCGUAAAGCGUGCGCAGGCGGUUCGGAAAGAUGGAUGUGAAAUCCCAGAGCUUAACUUUGGAACUGCAUUUUUAACUACCGAGCUAGAGUGUGU
rnacentral:rRNA from 1 species